UCAAACCGACUCAGGUGGUUAGGUAGAGAAUACCAAGGCGAUCGAGUGAAUCGUGGUUAAGGAAUUCGGCAAAAUACCCCCGUAACUUCGGGAGAAGGGGGGCCCAGAGGGUGACGGGACUUGCUCCCCGAGCCUGAACGGCCGCAGAGACCAGGGAGAAGCGACUGUUUACUAAAAACACAGGUCCGUGCCAAGUCGCAAGACGAUGUAUACGGACUGACGCCUGCCCGGUGCUGGAACGUUAAGGGGACCGGUUAGCCUCACGGCGAAGCUGAGAACUUAAGCGCCAGUAAACGGCGGUGGUAACUAUAACCAUCCUAAGGUAGCGAAAUUCCUUGUCGGGUAAGUUCCGACCUGCACGAAUGGCGUAACGACUUCUCCACUGUCUCAACCACGAACUCGGCGAAAUUGCACUACGAGUAAAGAUGCUCGUUACGCGCAGAAGGACGGAAAGACCCCGGGACCUUUACUACAGCUUGGUAUUGGUGUUCGGUACGGCUUCUGUAGGAUAGGUGGGAGACUGUGAAGCUGACACGCCAGUGUCGGUGGAGUCAACGUUGAAAUACCACUCUGGUCGUUCUGGAUAUCUAACCUAGGUCCGUAAUCCGGAUCAGGGACAGUGCCUGGUGGGUAGUUUAACUGGGGCGGUUGCCUCCUAAAGGGUAACGGAGGCGCCCAAAGGUUCCCUCAGCCUGGUUGGCAAUCAGGUUUCGAGUGUAAGUGCACAAGGGAGCUUGACUGUGAGACUGACAAGUCGAACAGGGACGAAAGUCGGGACUAGUGAUCCGGCGGUGGCUUGUGGAAGCGCCGUCGCUCAACGGAUAAAAGGUACCCCGGGGAUAACAGGCUGAUCUUGCCCAAGAGUCCAUAUCGACGGCAUGGUUUGGCACCUCGAUGUCGGCUCGUCGCAUCCUGGGGCUGGAGUAGGUCCCAAGGGUUGGGCUGUUCGCCCAUUAAAGCGGUACGCGAGCUGGGUUUAGAACGUCGUGAGACAGUUCGGUCCCUAUCCUCUGCGCGCGCAGGAAACUUGAGAAGGGCUGUCCCUAGUACGAGAGGACCGGGAUGGACGAACCUCUGGUGUGUCAGUUGUUCUGCCAAGAGCACCGCUGAUUAGCUACGUUCGGGAGUGAUAACCGCUGAAAGCAUCUAAGCGGGAAGCAUGCUUCAAGAUGAGGUUUCCAUGGGGUUUACCCCGAGAGGCUCCCAGCUAGACUACUGGGUUGAUAGGCCGGAUGUGGAAGUGCGGUAACGCAUGGAGCUGACCGGUACUAAUAAGCCGAUAACUUGACUAC
rnacentral:rRNA from 1 species